AACUCGUGAUGUGGACAAAUAUUUAUGAGAUCCUUCAACCUUUCCCAACAAGCCUAGAAGGUCUCGUCACCCUUUUGCAUAAACUAAAUGAUUUGUUCCUGCAAAAAU